AACGAACGCUGGCGGCAGGCCUAACACAUGCAAGUCGAACGGGAUCUUCGGAUCUAGUGGCGGACGGGGGAGUAACGCGUGGGAACGUGCCCUUUGGUUCGGAAUAGCCCCGGGAAACUGGGAGUAAUACCGGAUAAGCUCUACGGAGGAAAGAUUUAUCGCCAAAGGAUCGGCCCGCGUUGGAUUAGGUAGUUGGGGAGGUAAUGGCUCACCAAGCCGACGAUCCAUAGCUGGUUUGAGAGGAUGAUCAGCCACACUGGGACUGAGACACGGCCCAGACUCCUACGGGAGGCAGCAGUGGGGAAUCUUAGACAAUGGGGGAAACCCUGAUCUAGCCAUGCCGCGUGAUCGAUGAAGGCCUUAGGGUUGUAAAGAUCUUUCAGUGGGGAAGAUAGUGACUGUACCCGCAGAAGAAGCCCCGGCUAACUCCGUGCCAGCCGCCGCAGUAA
rnacentral:rRNA from 1 species